UAAGGAAUAUUGGUCAAUGGGGGGAACCCUGAACCAGCCAUGCCGCGUGCAGGAAGACGGCCCUACGGGUUGUAAACUGCUUUUGCACGGGAAUAACCCUCAUUAUGUAUAAUGAGCUGAAUGUACCGUGAGAAUAAGGAUCGGCUAACUCCGUGCCAGCAGCCGCGGUAAUACGGAGGAUCCGAGCGUUAUCCGGAAUUAUUGGGUUUAAAGGGUGCGCAGGCGGGGAUCUAAGUCAGGGGUGAAAGACGGUGGCUCAACCAUCGCAGUGCCUUUGAUACUGGAUUCCUUGAAUAUACCUGAGGUAGGCGGAAUGUGGCAAGUAGCGGUGAAAUGCAUAGAUAUGCCACAGAACACCGAUUGCGAAGGCAGCUUACCAAAGUAUGAUUGACGCUGAGGCACGAAAGCGUGGGGAUCGAACA
rnacentral:rRNA from 1 species